rnacentral:tRNA from 1 species
UCCCUGGUGGCUCAGACGGUAAAGCAUCUGUCUACGAUGCUGGAGACCCAGGUUCGAUCCCUGGGUUGGGAA